UAGUUGUUUAAUGCUGCAUACUUGGACUUUAUGAUAUAUGAUCAACUGCAACUUUUAUUUCUGGUUUUUGUUGAUGCUGAUACUUUGGCUUUCCAGGUACACUGAAUAACAGUUGCAUAGCAGCACCUUCUCCUGUUCAACAGAAAUCAUCCGCUAACCUGUCAAUCAUUGACUUCUGCCAAUUGACCAACUGUGAAGGUGGAUCAUGCAACAGGAUAUCAAAUUUCUCAUACAGUUGUGAAUGUGAUCCUGGUUAUUAUAAUCUUCUUAACAAUUCUGCUUUUCCAUGCUACAGUGAAUGUGCUAUUGGAUCGGAUUGUGUGAACCUGGGGAUUUCUCAAUCUCCAUCACCAGCUCCUGCAUGGGCUGAUGACGGUAAAAAUCAAGCUGGCUCAAAUUUCCUCAGGACUUACUAUUUGUUGGCACUUCUGAUGUUGUCGCUGGUUAUGGUUUUGCAAAACUAGUAUAAAUAAGUGGAUGCUCGAGAUUUCUGGUACCACCGUCACUUGAUUAUAUGAUCCCUAAAUAUUAUGUG